rnacentral:rRNA from 1 species
AUAUGCUUGACUCAAAGAUUAAGCCAUGCAUGUGCAAGUUCAUACUAUAAACACGGUGAGACCGCGAAUGGCUCAUUAGAUCAGUCUUGGUUCCUUAGACGGAAAGCGUACCUGGACAACUGUGGCAAUUCUAGAGCUAAUACAUGCGAGAAAGCUCCGACCUUCGGGGACGAGCGCAGUUAUUAGACCAAGACCUAUCUUACACACUUGGUGACUCUGGAUAACCUCGGGCUGACCGCGCGGACAACGAUCUGGCGGUGCAUCUUUCAAGUGUCUGACCCAUCAACUUUCGACGGUAGGCGACAUGCUUACCGUGGUCGUUACGGGUAACGGGGAAUCAGGGUUCGAUUCCGGAGAGGGAGCAUGAGAAACGGCUACCACCUCCAAGGAAGGCAGCAGGCGCGUAAAUUACCCACUCCUGGCACAGGGAGGUAGUGACGAGUAAUAACGACUAGAGGCUCCUCGGAGACCUCAAGAUCGGAAUGAGACAAUCUUAAACACUUUAGCAAGGAACAAUUGGAGGGCAAGUCUGGUGCCAGCAGCCGCGGUAAUUCCAGCUCCAAUAGCGUAUAUUAAAGCUGUUGCAGUUAAAAAGCUCGUAGCUGAAUCCGGGGGAGAGGCCGGGGGGUUAUUGCUGCGUGUAAAAGGGGUCAAACCCUCCAUAAGCGAUCGGCAUGUCACAACCCGCGCCACGACCCAAACAGUCGGUAGACCCAGGGUGCUCUUAACUGAGUGGUCUGCGGUGGCCGGCCAGUUUACUUUGAAAAAAUUAGAGUGCUCAGAGCAGGCCGGUAGAGCCUAGAUACUUCAGCAUGGAAUAAUGGAACAGGACUUCGGUCCUCUUCAGUUGGUCUUCGGGACGCGAGGUAAUGACCGAUAGGGACAGA